CGAACGGGUGAGUAACACGUGGGUAACCUGCCCAUCAGAAGGGGAUAACACUUGGAAACAGGUGCUAAUACCGUAUAACAAGUAAAACCGCAUGGUUUUACUUUGAAAGGCGCUUUUGCGUCACUGAUGGAUGGACCCGCGGUGCAUUAGCUAGUUGGUGAGGUAACGGCUCACCAAGGCAACGAUGCAUAGCCGACCUGAGAGGGUGAUCGGCCACAUUGGGACUGAGACACGGCCCAAACUCCUACGGGAGGCAGCAGUAGGGAAUCUUCGGCAAUGGACGAAAGUCUGACCGAGCAACGCCGCGUGAGUGAAGAAGGUUUUCGGAUCGUAAAACUCUGUUGUUAGAGAAGAACAAGGAUGAGAGUAAAAAGUUCAUCCCUUGACGGUAUCUAACCAGAAAGCCACGGCUAACUACGUGCCAGCAGCCGCGGUAAUACGUAGGUGGCAAGCGUUGUCCGGAUUUAUUGGGCGUAAAGCGAGCGCAGGCGGUUUCUUAAGUCUGAUGUGAAAGCCCCCGGCUCAACCGGGGAGGGUCAUUGGAAACUGGGAAACUUGAGUGCAGAAGAGGAGAGUGGAAUUCCAUGUGUAGCGGUGAAAUGCGUAGAUAUAUGGAGGAACACCAGUGGCGAAGGCGGCUCUCUGGUCUGUAACUGACGCUGAGGCUCGAAAGCGUGGGGAGCAAACAGGAUUAGAUACCCUGGUAGUCCACGCCGUAAACGAUGAGUGCUAAGUGUUGGAGGGUUUCCGCCCUUCAGUGCUGCAGCUAACGCAUUAAGCACUCCGCCUGGGGAGUACGACCGCAAGGUUGAAACUCAAAGGAAUUGACGGGGGCCCGCACAAGCGG
rnacentral:rRNA from 1 species